UAUUCUAACGAAAGCUAUGACCCGCGACAUAUAUAUGGUCACCUUAUGGUCGCAGGUAGCUAGUGGUGAAACCGGUCGUUUUUUUG
rnacentral:ncRNA from 2 species